GAACAGAGAAAUAGCCCUGGGUCCCUGUGGUGUGAGAGGAGUUCUCAUCAUGGAAGCCUCACCCUGUUAGGAGUCAUGGUGCCCAGGGCCUGCCCUCUUAAGACAGCACAUAGCCCAGAUAGGGAGGGGCCUGCAGGUUAGACUCUGUGAGGGAAAUGACCAUCUUGCUGUCUUCCUCUAAGCUGAGAAGAGAAGGUGACAAGUGCCACCUCACAUGUGAUGAUCUUGGAAAUUCUUCCAGCCACAGCAUGCCAUUGAAGAAGUUCAAGAGCUUCUGGUGUCUGAUGUUAUCUGGAGAAAUACAAGAGCAUCAGGGAAAAUGUGGAUGUCACCUUUUCCUGGCCCAGUGAAUGAAAUAAGAGCAGCAGUGUGACAAGAAGCUGGAGGAAAAAGAAAUCGUGUUUCAGCUGAAGGUCAAGUAGCCCUGCUCAAGGGAAGAGGACAAGGAGCAUGUCGCCUGAGGUAGUCAAUGUGAAGCUCCUGGGGUGAGGUCUGUAACUGGUGGCCAUCCUUUCCUAGUCAUCUCCAUGCAUUUGAAACUCAGAGCCACCAAACAUUUCUCAGGAGAUGGACCCCAGGUGCA
rnacentral:lncRNA from 1 species